rnacentral:lncRNA from 1 species
CUUCUUAUUUUUUUCUUAUUCUCUUCUUCUUUUCUUCUUCUCUUCUUCUUCUCUUCUUCUUCACUUCUUCUCCUUCUUAUUUUUUUCUUCUCUUCUUCUUCUUUUUCUUCUUCUUCUCCUUCUUAUUUUUUUCUUCUCCUCCUCUUCUUCUUCUUCUUCUCCUCCUCCUCCUCCUCCUACUCCUCUUCUUCUUCUCCUCUUCUUGUCCUCCUCCUCAUCCUCUUCUCCUCUUCUCCUCCUAACUAAAUCUACUAGCCUAACUAAAACUACUAACCUAACUAAAUCAACUAAGCUAACUAAAACUACUAACCUAACU